CUACGGGAGGCAGCAGUGAGGAAUAUUGCACAAUGGGGGGAACCCUGAUGCAGCAACGCCGCGUGGAGGAUGACGUAUUUCGGUGUGUAAACUCCUUUUAUAUGUCAAGAAAAUGACGGUAGCAUAUGAAUAAGCACCGGCUAACUCCGUGCCAGCAGCCGCGGUAAUACGGAGGGGCAAGCGUUACUCGGAAUCACUGGGCGUAAAGGACGCGUAGGCGGGUUGGAAAGUCAGGUGUGAAAUCCUACAGCUUAACUGUAGAACUGCACUUGAAACUUCUAAUCUAGAGUAUGGGAGGGGGAGAUGGAAUUAGUGGUGUAGGGGUAAAAUCCGUAGAUAUCACUAGGAAUACCUAAAGCGAAGGCGAUCUCCUGGAACAUUACUGACGCUAAGGCGUGAAAGCGUGGGGAGCAAACAGGAUUAGAUACCCCUGUAGUC
rnacentral:rRNA from 1 species